rnacentral:rRNA from 1 species
GACGUAGGGGGCGAGCGUUGUCCGGAUUUACUGGGCGUAAAGAGCGCGUAGGCGGCCUAUUAAGUCAGGUGUGAAAUCUCCAGGGCUCAACCCGGAAACUGCACUUGAUACUGGUAGGCUGGAGUGUCGGAGAGGUGAUUGGAAUUCCUGGUGUAGCGGUGACAUGCAUUGAUAUCAGGAGGAACACCCAUGGCGAAGGCAGAUCACUGGCCGACAACUGACGCUGAGGCGCGAAAGCGUGGGUAGCAAA